CAGCCGCCACGGGAAUACGAAGGGGGCUAGCGUUGUUCGGAUUUACUGGGCGUAAAGGGUGCGUAGGCGGAUUGUUAAGUCAGGGGUGAAAUCCCGAGGCUCAACCUCGGAACUGCCUUUGAUACUGGCGAUCUUGAGUCCGGGAGAGGUGAGUGGAACUGCGAGUGUAGAGGUGAAAUUCGUAGAUAUUCGCAAGAACACCGGUGGCGAAGGCGGCUCACUGGCCCGGUACUGACGCUGAGGCACGAAAGCGUGGGGAGCAAACAGGAUUAGAUACCCGCGUAGUCCCUGUCUCUUAUAC
rnacentral:rRNA from 1 species